rnacentral:rRNA from 1 species
CCUACGGGAGGCAGCAGUGGGGGAUAUUGCACAAUGGGGGGAACCCUGAUGCAGCGACGCCGCGUGGGUGAAGAAGCGCCUCGGCGCGUAAAGCCCUGUCAGCAGGGAAGAAAAUGACGGUACCUGAAGAAGAAGCCCCGGCUAACUACGUGCCAGCAGCCGCGGUAAUACGUAGGGGGCCAGCGUUAUCCGGAUUUACUGGAGGUAAAGGGGGCGCAGACGGCGAUGCAAGCCAGGAGUGAAAGCCCGGGGCCCAACCCCGGGACUGCUCUUGGAACUGCGUGGCUAGAGUGCAGGAGGGGCAGGCGGAAUUCCUGGUGUAGUGGUGAAAUGCGUAGAUAUCAGGAGGAACACCGGUGGCGAAGGCGGCCUGCUGGACUGCAACUGACGUUGAGGCCCGAAAGCGUGGGGAGCAAACAGGAUUAGAUACCCGUGUAGUC